GCAGCCUGAUGCAGAGCUCGAUCCCAGGACCCCGGGAUCACGACCCGAGCCGAAGGCAGACACCUAACUGACUGAGUCACCCAGAGGCAGAGUUGCAGUUGUGACAGACCACGUGGCCUACAAAACUGAAAAUACUGACUUUGACCCUUGGGGCGCCUGGGUCGCUCAGUCGUUAAGCGUCUGCCUUCGGCUCAGAUCAUGAUCCCAGGGUCCUGGGAUCGAGUCCCACAUCGGAAUCCAUGCUCGGCGGGAAGCCUGCUUCUCCCUCUCCCACUCCCCCGCUUGUGUUCCCUCACUUGCUGUGUCUCUCUCUGUCAAAGAAAUAAAAUCUUUUUCUUUUUUUUUUAA